GUGAUUUAAGAUUGUUUUACGAUGUAUUUAUUCAAAGUUGGUUGGUUACUUUUUACGAACGUAUUACGUAUAGAAGGAAGAGUUUACUGUCAAGACGCUCACGCGUCUCCUUGGAUACCUUUGGGUUAUUCCUGUCCAGUGAUGUGUCAGAAUAUAAUCAACGCUAUUGAGAAGCUUAAAGUCAUAGAUUAUAAAAAAGUUUUAGACGAUGACAGAAAGGAGCGACUUAAAAUGAAUGACAGUUUUAUGAAUUCAAUAAAAAAUGAUGUAGACGCAAGCGAAGAACGUACAGAUAAUGAGAAUAAUAAAGAAAACUCAUCUAAUAAAAAAUGGA